GAUGAACGCUGGCGGCGUGCCUAAUACAUGCAAGUCGAGCGAACAGACGAGGAGCUUGCUCCUCUGACGUUAGCGGCGGACGGGUGAGUAACACGUGGAUAACCUACCUAUAAGACUGGGAUAACUUCGGGAAACCGGAGCUAAUACCGGAUAAUAUAUUGAACCGCAUGGUUCAAUAGUGAAAGACGGUUUUGCUGUCACUUAUAGAUGGAUCCGCGCCGCAUUAGCUAGUUGGUAAGGUAACGGCUUACCAAGGCAACGAUGCGUAGCCGACCUGAGAGCGUGAUCCGCCACACUGGAACUGAGACACGGUCCAGACUCCUACGGGAGGCAACAGUAGGGAAUCUUCCGCAAUGGACGAAAGCUUGACGGAGCAACGCCGCGUGAGUGAUGAUGGUCUUCGGAUCGUAAAACUAUGUUAUUAGGGAAGAACAAAUGUGUAAGUAACUAUGCACGUCUUGACGGUACCCAAUCAGAAAGCCACGGCUAACUACGUG
rnacentral:rRNA from 1 species